GAUGAACGCUGGCGGCGUGCCUAAUACAUGCAAGUCGAGCGAAUGGAUUAAAAGCUUGCUCUUAUGAAGUUAGCGGCGGACGGGUGAGUAACACGUGGGUAACCUGCCCAUAAGACUGGGAUAACUCCGGGAAACCGGGGCUAAUACCGGAUAACAUUUUGAACCGCAUGGUUCGAAAUUGAAAGGCGGCUUCGGCUGUCACUUAUGGAUGGACCCGCGUCGCAUUAGCUAGUUGGUGAGGUAACGGCUCACCAAGGCAACGAUGCGUAGCCGACCGGAGAGGGUGAUCGGCCACACUGGGACUGAGACACGGCCCAGACGCCUACGGGAGGCAGCAGUAGGGAAUCUUCCGCAAUGGACGAAAGUCUGACGGAGCAACGCCGCGUGAGUGAUGAAGGCUUUCGGGUCGUAAAACUCUGUUGUUAGGGAAGAACAAGUGCUAGUUGAAUAAGCUGGCACCUUGACGGUACCUAACCAGAAAGCCACGGCUAACUACGUGCCAGCAGCCGCAGUAA
rnacentral:rRNA from 1 species